GGUCUUCCUCUCUCUCCCCUUCCUUUCUCUUGACCCGGGUAAUAUGUCGUCCGCCGGCGGCGACGGUGGAGGGAGCGGCGGCGGGAUUGCUUUCAGCGGUUCUUCUCAACUCUAUUUUUGCCAUGAGUGCAACGCCACCGUAUCCAUUAGGACUUCAUCUUCCUCUGAUCUCGCUUGUCCCAAUUGCAACGGCGGCUUCAUUGAGGAAGUCGAUAAUCCCGCCCCUAAUUUUUCUAAUCCCUUCUUUUCGUUUACUUCUGAGUUUGGCGGCGGCGGUGCCGGCUUUCCUCUAGUAUUUUCCACCACUUCCACCGGCGGCGGUAGUGGUGCUGGUGCACCGAUAAUCGACGAUCUCUCUACUCUCUUCGGUGGUGGACCUAAUCGAUCGUCUCCGUUCGGGGAAACUGAUGCGUUCAACCCUUUUGUUUUUCUUCAGAACUAUCUUCAAACCCUGAGAGCCGGCGGUGCUAAUGUUCAAUUUGUGAUAGAGAACUCUGGAGACCCCGGUGGAACCUUCCGUCUGCCCGCGAAUCUCAAUUUUGGUGAUUAUUUUUUUGGACCUGGCCUCGAGCAAUUGAUUCAACAGCUUGCGGAGAACGAUCCUAACCGACACGGGACGCCUCCAGCUUCGAAAUCUGCCAUUGAGGGCCUUCCUACGAUUAAGAUUUCAGAAGAGUUGCUGGCUUCGGAAUCAUCGCAGUGUGCCGUUUGUAAAGAUACAUUUGAGCUCGAGGAAGAGGCGAAGCAGAUGCCAUGUAAACAUAUAUAUCAUUCAGAUUGCAUUUUGCCUUGGUUGGAAUUGCAUAAUUCUUGCCCUGUUUGCCGUUACGAGUUACCAACGGAUGAUCCUGACUACGAACAACGAGCUGGUGGGACAUCUACACAGGAGAAUCGAAAUCAAUCUGCAGGGGAAGGUGAGUCCGCUGGUUCUUCUGAAGGAGGUAAUGGGGGCAGCGGUGACGGUGGUAGUGCAACAUCUGGAGAAGACACACCGAGAGAACGCAGGUUUAGGGUUUCUUUGCCUUGGCCUUUUAGGCAACUAGCUUCCAUAGCCGAGACUAGCAGUACUGGGAAUGCCAACGUCAGCGGAAAUAAUAGCGGGGAAUCAAAUUCCGGAAGAAGUGGAAACCAGAAUUUUGAGUCGGAGACCAGACAAGAAGAUCUCGAUUAAGACCUGCGAGUAAUUUUUCUCGGUACAAUUCGAGAGAGGGGGAAAACAAAAUGGGGAUUCAGCUGGAAGAAACACAUAAGAAGAUUUGCAAUGUGGAGAAUGGAGAGGAAGCUGGAAAGCUGUUCAACACAUGCAGACAAUAUAAUAGAAAAGAUGAAGCAUAUGGAAGGAUCGAUCAAGGAAAUACAAGAACAAAUCAGAGAUAUAAAGGAAGAGUUGAGGAUAGAGAAAGCAGAACAGUCGAAACAGAGGAAGAAAAAGAAAAAGAGCAUGAUCAAGAAUAAGUUGAAUUAAAAAUCUUGGGGGAGCAAUUACCUCAAGUGAUUUGAGUGAAAGAAAAAGAGGCAAGAGAGACUUGCAAGAAACCUACUGGAUCGAAGGUUUGAGAGUAAUCCUGAAGAGAAUUGCUAGGAGCAUGUGUGUUUUGUUCUGUUCUUAUUUUCCAGAUACCUGUAGCUGAUCCAGCUUAGACUUACAUUCUGUCUGGAUUUUACUCCUGUGACUAAUACAUUUCUGGAGCUGAUCCCAUCAAACUUAAAUUGGGGAAUCAUACAGAGUUCUACAGUUUACAGUGUUUCAAAUCUGCAUCAUUGUUCAAUAGGAAGGAUGUGAAAUGUCCAUUGCUAGUGGUUAGUGAGAGUUGCGAACAUCAUAUUUCAUCUUGAGAAACAUAGGUAACUUGCUAUCAUCAUCUUGACAGGUAGAAUUAUUUAUAAAUUCAUCUUUUUAUUGGAUGGAUUAUGAUGAAACUUCUUAUUUUCUGGGAUUUCUAUCGUUUGCUUCAUUCGAACUCCUAUUGUCUUUCGUCUGCCUUCUCUCAUGCUAUAUUGCUCGUAGUGGGGGACUGGGUUAUAUACUCGUAUUCCAACACAACAAAGAGUCUAUAUAUAAAUGUUGUCCCUUUGCAAUUUCUUAUGCAUGUCCAUUUAUGUUUAAUGACGUUGAUAAUAUGAAAAAGUCUGCCAGUAUUAUUCUA